CAGUCUGUGGUCUGGGAUGCAUUUGUGUGUCUGAUUUUAAAAACAUGAAGCAUUUCAUAGCAAUCGUCACUACCACUGAGACCACACUCUU
rnacentral:snoRNA from 1 species